rnacentral:rRNA from 1 species
GAUGAACGCUGGCGGCGUGCCUAAUACAUGCAAGUCGAGCGAACGGACGAGAAGCUUGCUUCUCUGAUGUUAGCGGCGGACGGGUGAGUAACACGUGGAUAACCUACCUAUAAUACUGGGAUAACUUCGGGAAACCGUAGAUAAUACCGGAUAAUAUUUUGAACCGCAUGGUUCAAAAGUGAAAGACGGUCUUGCUGUCACUUAUAGAUGGAUCCGCGCUGCAUUAGCUAGUUGGUAAGGUAACGGCUUACCAAGGCAACGAUGCAUAGCCGACCUGAGAGGGUGAUCGGCCACACUGGAACUGAGACACGGUCCAGACUCCUACGGGAGGCAGCAGUAGGGAAUCUUCCGCAAUGGGCGAAAGCCUGACGGAGCAACGCCGCGUGAGUGAUGAAGGUCUUCGGAUCGUAAAACUCUGUUAUUAGGGAAGAACAUAUGUGUAAGUAACUGUGCACAUCUUGACGGUACCCAAUCAGAAAGCCACGGCUAACUACGUG